GAGCUGCUUGCUUGGCCUGCUCCCAUUCUGUGGAGUGUACGUUUGUUUCAAUAAAUCUGCUUUUUUUUUCAUUGUUUUGUUUGUGCAUUUCAUCCAAUUAUUUGUUCAAAAUGCCAAGAAUCUGGACACCCUCCACCAGUAACAAGCAUUGGGAAGGUGAAGGCAGAAAAGCAGAGUGCAAAAUGAAGUGAUAAUGGAUGCUAACAAGAGAACCUUUGAACACAAUGGGACAGAAAUAAGGUCGUGCAUUUUCUACUAUCUGUCUGUCACCUGUGGACAACUUGCCACUUCAACAGUUCUGGUCACUUUUAAGCUCCCCCGAGGAGAAGAUAGGAAACUUGGACACCCUGUGUGGGAUUGAGAAUCACAAAGGGACAAUCUCACCAACUGGUCAAGACAACUGAACUGAACUCUUCAUUCACAAGUGGGCUUCUCAUAAGAGGAAGGAAAGCAGACAUCGUCUGACACUACCCACAUCAGGAAGAGGUGAACUUUAAUGAGGGAAGAAAACAGAUUCUAUUAGGGGAAAAAACAUUUAAUCAGAAAAUAAGGCUCUGGAAAGAAAAGGCCAAUUGGGGCUUUGUCUAAAGAAAUAACAGAAUAUUUUUCUGCCAGAGAAAGCAAAUUCAAGGACGGAAUUUUCAGAUUGACUGAAGAGUAUUGGUCAGCAUCAUUAGUACUUUCAGUGAGAAAUAAUUGAAAAUAAACCAGAGCAAGCGUUCCCCACGUGGAAACUCUUAAACAGUCACCUGGGAACUGUUAGAAAUGCAAAUUCUUGGACUCUCCACCAGAAUCACUGAAUCAGAAACUCUGAAAUGGGACUCAGUAAUCAGUAGUUUAACAAGCUCUCCAGGUGAUUCUUAUGCCAACUAAAGUUUGAAAUCCCCAGGUGCUAGCACUGGAAGCAAAUGAGUCACAGCUGUGAACAAUCCGACCAUUAAUUCCCUGGGUGGGAUAAAUAAAAAUGAGAAACUAAAAAGUUAAAUGAUAGAGGUUGACCAUAGUUCAAAAGCAAGGCUAUACCUGAAUAUAAAAUUCUUUCUUAACCUAGAUACAAAAUGGGAAUAUGUUUAAUCAUUUAUAUAGCAUCUUAUUGGUUUUUUCCAGCUUAAUUGAAGUCUGAUUGACAAACAUUAUAUAUAUUUAAAAUGUACAUGAUGUGUUCAUAUACAUUGUGAAACAAUUACCACAAUGAAGCUAACAUAACCAUGA